GGCUCAGUUGUCUAGUUGUAUGAUUCUUGCUUUGGGUGCGAGAGGCCACUUGUUCGAUUCCCGUCUGAGCCC
rnacentral:tRNA from 1 species